AUGAUCUCCAGAAAACCAACUUGUUUACUGGGUCGUCCACUGAACCGAGGUGCGAGGAGUCAUUCUUUGCACCUCCAGCUAAUGACAAGUGGAUCAUCAUAUGCAGGGUGCACAACUGCACACAAGAGGCCUUACACGUCAGGAAGUUCGGAGCAUACAUCUAGAGAUUUUAACAUGUCAAAUUCGUCCAAGUGGUUGCUCUGCGUUUCAUUUGAAAUGAGAAUGGAACGGGUCCUGGUCCUGGAGGCUUUUGAUCUGAGAAAUGGAAUUCUUCCAACUGGGCGCUCUGGCUUUAGGAGCAUGCUGGUGGUGGUGAGACAAAACACCCUCUGA
rnacentral:rRNA from 1 species